GACGAACGCUGGCGGCGUGCUUAACACAUGCAAGUCGAACGGAAAGGCCCUGCUUUUGUGGGGUGCUCGAGUGGCGAACGGGUGAGUAACACGUGAGUAACCUGCCCUUGACUUUGGGAUAACUUCAGGAAACUGGGGCUAAUACCGGAUAGGAGCUCCUGCUGCAUGGUGGGGGUUGGAAAGUUUCGGCUGUUGGGGAUGGACUCGCGGCUUAUCAGCUUGUUGGUGGGGUAGUGGCUUACCAAGGCUUUGACGGGUAGCCGGCCUGAGAGGGUGACCGGCCACAUUGGGACUGAGAUACGGCCCAGACUCCUACGGGAGGCAGCAGUGGGGAAUAUUGCACAAUGGGCGGAAGCCUGCUGCAGCAACGCCGCGUGCGGGAUGACGGCCUUCGGGUUGUACACCGCUUUCGCCUGUGACGACGCGUGAGUGACGGUACUGGGUAAAGAAGCACCGGCUAACUACGU
rnacentral:rRNA from 1 species